AGAACGAACGCUGGCGGCAGGCCUCAAACAUGCAAGUCUAGGGGGUGUAGCAAUACAUCACCGGCGGACGGGUGCGUAACGCGUGGGAAUGUACCUAUUGGUUCGGAACAACUGAGGGAAACUUCAGCUAAUACCGGAUGAGCCCGAAAGGGGAAAGAUUUCUCGCCAAUAGAUCAGCCCGCGUCCGAUUAGCUAGUUGGUGGGGUUAAAGCCUACCAAGGCGACGAUCGGUAGCUGUUCUGAGAGGAAGAUCAGCCACACUGGGACUGAGACACGGCCCAGACUCCUACGGGAGGCAGCAGUUGGGAAUCUUGGACAAUGGGGGAAACCCUGAUCCAGCCAUGCCGCGUGAGUGAUGAAGGCCUUCGGGUUGUAAACUCUUUCGACGGGACGAUAAUGACGGUACCCGUAGAAGAAGCUCCGGCUAACUUCGUGCCAGCAGCCGC
rnacentral:rRNA from 1 species